rnacentral:lncRNA from 10 species
UGAGGAUCCGAUGGGACCACUGGAACAAGAACCCCGGCCGUGAGUGGGGUGGCGGAAGAAUUGUGCAGUCCAAGUGGCUCAUCUGUCUGGGAGGAAAAUCCCAGCUCACCCGUCUUCCCUGGGCCCGCCUGAGGGGAGAGACUGGGAGGCAGGAGCCCAGCAGGGGCUGACCUGUGGUUACCCCAGACCCUGCCUGCCCUCUGCACAGGGGCCUGAGAGGCCCAAGCCCUCCCACAAAUGAGUUUUUAUUAUUUUUCUCUAGCUCUCAGAUGAUGUUAGCUUUCCUUUCUCAUCCAGUCCUUUCCUAUCCUUUCUCUUGGGGAAACACAGUACCAGAAGGUCUGGAGACAGAAGAUAGGAGUUUUGUCGCAGGCUUCCCCAGUCCCUAGCUCUGCAAAUUUGGGUGGGUGCUUUACCUCCCUGAGUGCUGACUUGGGAGUCAGUCUGACCUGGGCUCCUCUCCCAUCCCUGCCACACUGACCAGAUGAUCUUGGGCAAGUCACUUCAAAACCUCCCUGAAUGCACAUUUGAUUUGGUUUGAAUGCAAAUCAAAAUUGUGAAAAUAAAAUAAAAUUUCAGGAGCUCCCCAAUUCAUUAUGCCAAUGGGAAAAGUUAAGCCCUGGAAACUGAGUCACAUCACAGGACUGCUCUCUGACCAUUGCCUCUUGAUUUUUGUGUUGAGAAUGUUAUACUUUAACCGGGCUCCCCAUUCUUUAUUCAAACCUGGACUAAAUGACACGCUGGUGAUCAUUACCUCUUUACAAAUGAGUGUUAAGCAGCCCCCUUAAAGUGUAGUCAAUAGUAGCCAAUCAAAUCUUGUAGCUCUACGUUAACCUUUGUAUGGAAAAUGUAAUUGUGUUACCCACCCGUUUCUGGCUAUAUAAACCAUCCUCACCUUGCCCCACACAGGGAAGCACUGAUCACCAUUCUCUGGUUUUCCUGUUUCCUGACGACUACCCUCACACUUUGCCCUUGAAUAAACUUCUUUAACUAGAAAAACAAAAACAAACAAAACAACAACAGCUUGGACUGGUGUCUCAUCUGUAACAUGGGAUAAUAGUAGGACUCAGGUCACUGGGCUUUUGGGAGGGUAAAAUGAGCUAAUGUGUGUGAAGCAACCAGACAGCCCUGGGGCAUAGUAACUGUUGGAUAGUGGUAGUCAGAUUUUUAUCAACCUUUGUCUUAGUGUGGCAUCUAGCUCCAUUUAUCCCUGGGGAAACUGAGGCCUGAUGUGGUGUAAUCCACUCAAGUUCCCAUAAGGAGCAGGCCUGAGACACAGGGAGCUGAGAUCUUCUGACCUCCAGACAGAGGCUUUUGCACCAGCAAAGAUAAUCCCUGUCUGGAAUGUGGGCUAGUUAUUUUCUUUACAAGGCAGAUCCGGGUAUCACCUCAUUCAACUCCUGCCACAGCUAGAAGAGAAGUCACAGGCUCUGGGUGUUUUCUGAAGCCAGGAUCCCUGGGAUGGUGGGCUUUGUAUGGCCAGGCCUUAUAGCCGUCGGGUAUUUUCCCUGGUGUGGCUCAGCUGCCCCUGAGUUGGCGGCUGGGCCUGUGAGUCAGAGCUGUCCCAUGGCUCCAUUCUUUUCCCCACUUGAAGCCACAGCCCCAGACUCCUGGAGGCAGUCCAGGGAGGCCUGUGGUUCCAAAAUGAGGUCCUUCCCGCACCCACUCAAAUGAAGAUGCCGUUUCCCCAGCUCAGAGAGAGCAAGGGAGGGGCUAAGGACACACAGUGAUGGAUCUGAGGCUGACAUCUGGUCCACCUCAAGUGAGCCAAGUACAGGACUCUGGGCCCAGGUGGGAGGGCCCUAGCACUCUGUCCCCUGCCCCCAGCAACCCUAUUGCCCCUGGCCCUGUGUUGCUGCCGGGGUCCCACAGGCCUGGGCUCGGCAGGAGAGCCUAUGACUCAUGCCGGCCCCACAACCCCUGAGAUGCUGCAGCCGUGAGGGGUCUGGGUCCUGCCAGGUCUACACCUCUCUGCCCUCAAAGCCACAGCCUGGUCGCCACCCUAUUCCCUCCCCUGUCCUUACCCUGGCCGCAGUUCCCUCCGCUUCCUCUCUUCCUCUUCCUCUUCCUCUUCUCUCUUCUCCACCUUCUCCUCACUUCGUGCUCUCACGCUUUUGGACACUCUGUCUGCCCUUCUCCUACCUGGGGCCUGAUCAUGACUCACCUGGACCUGGAAUCUGGGCUCUAGCAGCUGCCUGUCACAGAGCACGCCGGCCUCAAUCCGGGCCUGUGGGCGGAGUGGAGGGGAGGGUGUCCCAGCUGAUAGCCAAAGCCAAAGCACAUGGUGGAGGCAGUGAGACGCCUCAGCACCAGAGCCUUGG